CAGCCGCGGUAAUACGUAGGGGGCAAGCGUUGUCCGGAUUUAUUGGGCGUAAAGAGCGUGUAGGCGGUUAGGUAGGUCCGUUGUGAAAACUCGAGGCUCAACCUCGAGACGCCGAUGGAAACCAUCUAACUAGAGUCCGGAAGAGGAGAGUGGAAUUCCUGGUGUAGCGGUGAAAUGCGCAGAUAUCAGGAAGAACACCCGUGGCUAAGGCGGCUCUCUAGUACGGUACUGACGCUGAGACGCGAAAGCGUGGGGAGCGAACAGGAUUAGAUACCCUGGUAGUCCACGCCGUAAACGAUGGGUGCUAGGUGUAGGGGGUGUCGACUCCCUCUGUGCCGAAGCUAACGCAUUAA
rnacentral:rRNA from 1 species